GUGGCUGCGAGAGGCGGCUCCCGCUCUCCCGCCCGCCCAAGGGGGGCGGCCGGCCCGGGGCGGCAAGCCCCCACCCACCCCCAGCUCGGGGCCCUGGCCUUCUCGCCUCAACGCCCACCCUUCUGCAGUCGUGUGCUGGCCUCCAGCGCGCGGACCCCAGGGCGGCGGCGCCAAGCGGGGCGCUGCCUGCGCUCACCGCCCCCCACCCCGGUCCUCCUCCCCGAACCGCUCCAAACAAACACGCCAUUUAAACGGCAUCCGGGCUCGCCAUACCCACAACUCCCGGGGCAGAGCCCACCCGUCCCAGCGCCCUCGCCCGGGUGGGGGCGGGGGCGCGCGGAAAGCAGCAGCUCUCUCUCUACCCCCUCCUCCUGGCGCGCCCUCCUUCCCAGGAGGAAGGUCACGGCUGCACCCAUUACCCUGCUCUCUCCACACCGCCUCCCAGCCCCGCCCUGCCCCCAAAGGAGGGCACAGCACAGAAGCACUCCCCGGGGGGGGGGGGGGCUUUGCGUGAACCCGCUGUCCCUUCACAGACACCCCAGGGCAGCCCCAUCUUGCCCCUGAAGUGGGGGGAGUGUCACAUGUCAACCCCACGACAAAAGGGCAGUCCAGCCACCUGCACCACUGCCUGGGAGCCUGCACUGACAGCCGGCCUGGGACGGACAGCCACUGGUCCACCACCACCCACCUCCAGCUCUCUCCGGGUGGGGCCUGGUGGCCGGAAGCACUGGCCUCGCGAGGGGCCACCUUGCCACUGCACUGCUCCCCAGGAGGACCUGGAGCUGCCCCGGGGAGCUUCCUGCGCACAGACGAGAUCUGCCUUUGGUUUCUCGUCCCAGUCGCCACGCCAACACCGGGGCGCCCGGAAUCAAGCCGGUCCCAACAGCUCUCGUGUCUGGCCCAGGGAGAGCAGACUACUUUCUGCAUAGUCUCUCCUACUGUCAGACCCUUCUAGAACCCCCUCCCAGCUGCCUCCCAGUCACUCGGCAUCUGGGGGCAGAGGGCCUAGUCCAGCUGGACGUAGGCGGACUUGGCCUGACCCCAGACCCGCCUGGUUCUGCGAAGCUGCAGCCCCCACCCCCAAGGCUGAGCUCUCUUCCUCCACGGGCGACAACUCUGGAUUCAUGACAGGCAGACUGGCCCACUGUGAGCGCUCCUGGGUGCAGGGGUUGGGGGAGGGUCUGGCUUUGGGGGUACGGGGUGUUCUUACCUGGCCCUGUGCCUAUCCUGUAAAUGCGCUCUGGGUUCAAAUCUGGGACUGCAGUGAGGUCCGCCCCCAGAGGCAGCUGCGGGAUGCCUGCGUGUUCCCCAGGCGCUGCUGCGCUAAGUAAGCACCUCCCAGCCCAGCCCUGCGGACCACAACUCCUGCGGGAAGAGCUCAGCCCUCGGGGACUCCUGCUUCUGCUGGCUCCUGGGAGCCAGGCUCCGGGAAGGGCCCCCUCCGGGACCAGGAUCCUGCCUCUGUGUCCCCAAGCCCCUUGGACUCAGAACCCGUGGCCCGGCAGCAGCUUGGGCCACCACCCUCAAGAUUCUGCACUGGGUAUUCGCUCCCUGGCAGCAACACGGAUAAAAAGUGGUUUCCUGCG